rnacentral:rRNA from 1 species
UACGUAGGGUGCGAGCGUUGUCCGGAAUUAUUGGGCGUAAAGAGCUCGUAGGCGGUCUGUCGCGUCGGCUGUGAAAACCCGGAGCUCAACUCCGGGCCUGCAGUCGAUACGGGCAGACUGGAGUUCGGCAGGGGAGACUGGAAUUCCUGGUGUAGCGGUGAAAUGCGCAGAUAUCAGGAGGAACACCGGUGGCGAAGGCGGGUCUCUGGGCCGGCACUGACGCUGAGGAGCGAAAGCGUGGGUAGCAAACAGG